rnacentral:rRNA from 1 species
UCGAGAGGCUUCUACAAUGGGGGAAACCCUGAUAGAGCGACGCCGCGUGGGUGAUGAAGGUCUUCGGAUCGUAAAGCCCUUUCAGCAAGGACGAAUGUACUGGUGAUAAUACCACCAAAUGCAAGACGGUACUUGCAGAAGAAGCUCCGGCUAACUCCGUGCCAGCAGCCGCGGUAAGACGGAGGGAGCAAGCGUUGUUCGGAUUUACUGGGCGUAAAGGGCGUCUAGGCGGACUAGUCAGUCAGAUGUGAAACCCCCCGGCUUAACCGGGGAACUGCAUUUGAUACUACUGGUCUUGAGGACGGAAGAGGAAAGCGGAAUGCCUGGUGUAGCGGUGAAAUGCGUAGAUAUCAGGAAGAACACCGGUGGCGAAGGCGGCUUUCUGGUUCGAUACUGACGCUAAAGCACGAAAGUGUGGGGAGCAAACA